ensembl:snRNA U6 U6 spliceosomal RNA
UUGCUUUAGCAGCAUAUUUGCUAACUUUGGAAGAAUACAGGUAAGAUUAGCAUGACUCUGUGCAAGGAUUACACACAAAUUCAUGAAGUAUUCCAUAUUUUU